rnacentral:rRNA from 1 species
AUGGUGCGACCUCUUGGAUUCAUUGCGCUACACAUUCCGGAGGUGGAUAGCCCGCCCGACCAGAUUUCAUGGCGCCUGGAACCGUCUGGGAGGUUCUCCACUAAAUCUCUCUACCAGGCCAUCCUACCUACGCCCGCCACGUCCCCCUUUGCCCAGGUGUGGGACAUUAGGCUCCCCCUGAAGAUCCGAAUUUUCCUAUGGCAAUGGAUCCGGGGCCACAUCUCGUCUGGCGUGGAGGUGCUUAAACAGAAUGGUCCUGGUGACGGCUUGUGCCCCCUUUGUGGGACGGUCGUUGGUGCAACUCCAACUUUCCCGACCUCUUCGACGACCUUCAGGCCUCACCUCCGCAGGCUCGCCACAUUAGGUGGCUUUGCAUCGGUGUACUCGUGUGGACCCUUUGGACUGUUCGCAACCGUCUACUUUGGUGGCCACUUAGCCACACCCCGGACCGAGACGCCAUCUCCUCCAUCUUUACAGAUCUGCGUGCGAUUGCUCCUCGCUUGUCUCCAUCGCUCCCGCCACCACCUCCAGAGCUGGAUUAGCCUUGGGGAAAAGCGUUGGGCUAGCGCCGAGCCAGCGCCAGAGCUAACCACCCGUCUCAUGUCAUCGUCGCCGCAAGGGCCCCUCCUCAGCAUCUCCGACUUCAGGAAGACAAAGCGGGGCAUGGCAACCCCUCGAACACGUCGGAAGAGACCAACUACCAAGACCCAUCUGCAAGCCUGCUCUGCUCGAAACUGCCAUCGUUACCACACAAGAAGCCGCGCUAACAUCCACAUCACCGGACGGGCAGCAGCCGACCGCAAUGUCGCGAGUGUCCAGCCCAUGAAGCGUGCAAAUGGGAACCAAUGCUCUUCAAGAGCAAGGUCCGAGGGUGGCGGACACGAGGCUCCACGACGGCGCCUCCAAGGAGGUGAAACGACGCCGCCGGCCGGAACCUGGCAAAACUUUCGCCCGGAGCACCCGUCACCACCGGCACCCCCACGCUGGCCCGCCCACCUCUGCGAAGACGUCGCGCCAGCAACAUCGGAGAGCCACCACAACCCACUCCUCACCGGCAGCCAGAGCAGCAUCGGCAAGCCAGAUCUGGCCGCCUGCCAGAUCCACAUUCCCCCACCUCAGGCAGCCAAAGGGACCGCAUCCAGCACGCAGCCACCACGCACACGAGUACACCGCCCACGAGCAGGGGCACGAGGGCCGCCACCCCUCCGCACCCGCGCUGGCCGAGUCCAGAAGCACGAGAUCCGCGCUGGGAUCCGCCGUCGCUGCACACUGGGAGCCGCCGCCGCAACACAAAGGGGCGUCCGCGGAGAAGCCAACCACCGAGACGCCACGGUCGCAGGGCCGCCGAAGCCGCCGGGCCGCCAAAGCCGCCACCCCUCCUCACCUGCGCCGGCCGGAUCCGGAAGCGCUAGCGCGAGAUCCACGCAGGGAGCCACCGACGCUGCACAUGGGAAGCCGCCGCGGCUGCGCCGCCGAGCCGGGGGAAAGAGCGCCUCCCACCACCAAGGAACCUCGUCGCCGCGCAGCGAACGCCCCGCCGCCGCCGUCCGCACCGCGGGCUUAGCCCGGCCACAUCUUCCGGCGGCGGUGAGGGGGGAGGAGAGGGGUGCGGCACCGGCCGGCGAGAAGGGAUCCCCCGAGUCGCCUGGGGACGACGCGGGGGUCGGGAGGCUGGUCUCUGGAAACGGUAAAAGUUCCCGCGGAUCAUGGACUGUUUUUCUUGCCAAGUUUGCAAGUCCCAAGUUUCAGAAGGAUGCCACACGUACAACACCACACAUACGAUUUCUGUACGCCACUGAAGAUCGAAUCAUUCACACCCAGAAGCAAAAUGCAGCAGGCCGGACAAAAAAAGCAUCAAAAAGAGCAGGGAGCAAUCCAUACCAAGCCAUGCAGAUAAACCAUGGUCGGGAGAGGCGAUCCUAUCUUCCAAACCAUAUAUGCUGA